GCCACGAGCCAUAUCACCCUGCAACUCACAACUGGCAACCCACUGAAGCUAAGCAGGUGUGAGCCUGGUCAGUACCUGGAUGGGAGACCUGGGAAAAACUUAGGUUGCUGCUGGAA
rnacentral:rRNA from 1 species